GCCUGCUUAGCUCAGUUGGUAGAGCAAUGGUUUUGUAAACCGGAGGUCGGGAGUUCGAGUCUCUCAGCAGGCA
rnacentral:tRNA from 1 species